ensembl:antisense 4932702P03Rik RIKEN cDNA 4932702P03 gene
CUUCCUCGCUCUGCUUCUCCACCCGCCAUGGGAGCCGUUUUCCUCAGCCCAGCUCUGUUGAUGCUCAUUCUGGGCCCAGUCCCAAAGUAAGCUGCUCGCAACGGUGGACUAGACCGGUACUCGUCAAUGCCAUACUUGGACCCUUCGCGCCCAAGGCCGGACUGUUUCACCCCACCAAAAGGACAUUCCACUGAAGAGAUCAGUCCUUCAUUCACACCGACCAUGCCGACCUCCAGCUGCUCCGCCACUCUCCAGAUCUGGGCUGGGUCUUGAGAGUAAAAGUAACCUAGCAGGGGAACAAAGGGACGCAGACAGCUUGAGGAAUUCUUCUGAAAGUCACACGCGCCUGCCUCUGAGGGUGCUUGCCUAGUCACAGGGACCCCGGGAUUCUCCUGCUUGCAGGUAAAGAAAGGCCCAGGUUGGUUUUGUCCACAUUUUCAUCCUAAGAACCUUGGCCAUCACGUUAAGCGUCUGUUUCUCUUUUGCUGGGGUCCUUCCCAGUCCCACUGGGCCUUUGUAAGCAUGCGCGUCUGUGCUCGCUUCCAGCUCGUCAGCCCCUCCUCCUUCAGAGGGCAAGAUGCUUAAGCCUUGCAGUCGGUCCUAGUUGUCUAUAAACAAGCCCACAUUGCUCAGUCCUGCCCCAGAGUGUGGCUGGGUGAGCCUUUUCAGCUUGCUCCUGACUGUAAUUCAGAACGUAAGAGUAAUGCUCAAAAGGCGGAGGUUGGCCUUUACUUGCGUCAUGACGACGGUGGCCGCCAGUCGGAAAACCUACCUGCCAAUCCAACCUCAGCUGCAUUUGCGAUAGCGACGGCCUCUUCCUCCUUAUCAAACCUGCCGGAGUUAAAGCAGGUCAUGAGCAAAAUCUGUGAGCUGAGGAAUAGAGAAACCAGCUUUAUGCUCUCCCGAUUCACUUCCUAAAUACUGACAAGGAGGAGGCCAGAGUUGCAAAGAGAUCCAAGGGGAGGAGAAAUGAGUGGAGUAGAAGUGCAGACAUGGUAACUCAGCCUUCUCCAAGACCUGGUAAAGCAACGUGGUCCACCUUCUCUGAGAGAGAGGGAAAAGUGGACCAACCGAGGAGAGACAUCGUCAAACAAAAUCCUUUAAGGAAAGGACUGCUAGGUGCAGUGCUGGCUCAUCAGUUAAGAGCACUUGCUGCACUUGCUGCUCUUGCAGAGGACCUGGGUUGGACUCCCAGCACCCACAUGUGGCUCACAACUCUUAACUCCAGGCCCAGCAGAUCUGACAUCUUCUUCUGAGCCCUUCCAGGUCCUGGAUCUAAGUAGAAAACGGAAUAUUGUCAGACCACUGAUCUGAGAAUGAUUAUUUAUUAAGGUUGGAUAAAAGAUUAUACAAGGUUAUAGUUCAUUUCCUAUAGACUGAGAGGAUAGAGGCCUUGAGGGUAUUAGAAAAAUAUGCUUAGAAAUCGGUGGGGGAAAGUAAGUUUAGAGGCAUUAAGAAAUCUAAAUGAGGGAUUUUGAUGAAUUUUGUGCUUGAAAUUAGGUAUGGUGUAUGCCUAUAGGGGAGGCUAAAGCAAGAAAGUUGAGAGUUUAAGGCCAGCCUGGGUUACAGACGAGGCCUUGUUUCAAACAGACAAACACCCAAAACUAAAACCAACAAUAACCACCUUCCACACCACUCAACAAAGACAAAACACAAACACCAAAAACUGGGGCUAGGACUAGGGAGAUACCUGGCUCUGUUGGUAAGUGCUGAGUUCAAUCCCCCAGAACCCGUAUGAAAACUCAGUUGUGGUGGCCUGUGCUUGGGAUCCCAGGUCUAACCAACCUACUCUACCUGGAGAGUCCUGGGUUGCAGUGAGAGACCCUCUCUCCAAGUUUAAGGUGGACAGCUCCCAAGAAGUAACACCCAGGGCUGACCUAUAUGUGCACCUGAAUACACAAACUCCAAAAUCAAACCCCAACUAUCAGAAAGACGACUCUGCUGCUUGACUCUGACUGUUCAACUCUGCUAUGCAGCUGACUGCAUCUGCUCAGCCUUCCUACUCUCUCUCUCUCUCAGACUAGCUUUUCCUUCCCAAGCGUCUCCCUCCUUCCACUACUGGAGGAACGUACUUGAUGACUGGUGCCAGAGGCCCAAAGGUCUCCUCAGUGAUGCAGAGCAUGUCCCUGGUGACAUUGCUGAGCAGGGUGGGCUCAAAGAAAUUUCCUCCACUUUGGUGUCGCUUUCCACCCGUCACAACCGUGGCCCCUUUGGCAACUGCGUCAUUCACCUGCUUCUCUACCUGAGAGAUGAGAAGAAGGGCACCAGGGAAAGCUGGAUAGGGACCUUUUCCAAAUUGUACAAUCCCCUAAAAUGUUAAACAGCAGAAAACCAGUCAAGACUCGAUUCCUGGGAAUCACAUGGUGGAAGGAGAGAACGGACUCUGGAUAGCCCAUCGCUUCUCUGAGCUUUGCAUUUAUGGAUGCUGGGCUGGUUGUACGCUUAGACCACUUGUCUACUUCUGUCUGGGUUGAAGAGAUGUUUGGAUACAUCUCAAAUAUAAUGGCAUUGCUUGCCCAUGACAGAUGUUCGGUCUCAGAAAUGUGUUCUUAGCUGAUUUCACUAUUGAAUAAACAUCAUACAAUAUUUUGAUACAAACCC